GAUAACUUACUCUAGCUCCUUGUGGAGCCAA
rnacentral:sRNA from 1 species